AUUGAACGCUGGCGGCAUGCUUUACACAUGCAAGUCGAACGGUAACAGGCCGCAAGGUGCUGACGAGUGGCGAACGGGUGAGUAAUGCAUCGGAACGUGCCCAGUCGUGGGGGAUAACUACUCGAAAGAGUAGCUAAUACCGCAUACGAUCUAUGGAUGAAAGCGGGGGACCGUAAGGCCUCGCGCGAUUGGAGCGGCCGAUGUCAGAUUAGGUAGUUGGUGGGGUAAAGGCUCACCAAGCCAACGAUCUGUAGCUGGUCUGAGAGGACGACCAGCCACACUGGGACUGAGACACGGCCCAGACUCCUACGGGAGGCAGCAGUGGGGAAUUUUGGACAAUGGGCGCAAGCCUGAUCCAGCAAUGCCGCGUGCAGGAAGAAGGCCUGCGGGUUGUAAACUGCUUUUGUACGGAACGAAACGGCUCUGGUUAAUACCCGGGGCUAAUGACGGUACCGUAAGAAUAAGCACCGGCUAACUACGG
rnacentral:rRNA from 1 species